rnacentral:rRNA from 1 species
CACGUAGGGGGCAAGCGUUGUCCGGAUUUAUUGGGCGUAAAGAGCUCGUAGGCGGCUCGGUAAGUCGGGUGUGAAAUCUCGGGGCUUAACUCCGAAACUGCAUUCGAUACUGCGGUGCUUGAGGACUGGAGAGGAGACUGGAAUUCAUGGUGUAGCAGUGAAAUGCGUAGAUAUCGGGAGGAACACCAGUGGCGAAGGCGGCGAUCUGGGUCGAUACUGACGCUGAGGUGCGAAAGCGUGGGGAGCAAACAGG